rnacentral:rRNA from 1 species
UACGUAGGGGGCAAGCGUUGUCCGGAUUUAUUGGGCGUAAAGCGCUCGCAGGUGGUUCGAUGCGUCGUGCGUGAAAGCCCCCGGCUCAACUGGGGAGUGUCGUGCGAUACGGUCGAACUGGAGGCCAGUAGGGGGAUGCGGAAUUCCGGGUGUAGUGGUGGAAUGCGUAGAGAUCCGGAGGAACACCAGCGGCGAAGGCGGCAUCCUGGACUGGUCCUGACACUCAGGUGCGAAAGCUAGGGUAGCGAACAGG